rnacentral:tRNA from 12 species
GGCUCGUUGGUCAAGUGGUUAAGACGCCGCCCUUUCACGGCAGAAUCGAGAGUUCGAUUCUCUCACGAGCUAUCA